GACGAACGCUGGCGGCGUGCUUAACACAUGCAAGUCGAACGGAAAGGCCCUGCUUUCGUUGGGUACUCGAGUGGCUAACGGGUGAGUAACACGUGAGUAACCUGCCCUUGCUUUUGGGAAAAUUUCAGGAAACUGGGGCUAAUACCGGUUAUGAGCUCCUGCUGCAUGGGGGGGGUUGGAAAGUUUCGGCGGUUGGUGAAGGACUUGCGGGUUAUCAGCUUGUUGGUCGGGUAGUGGUUUAGCAAGUCUUCUACCGGUAGCCGGCCUGAGCGGGUGACCGGCGACACGGCACCAACGAUAAGGCCAAGACGCCGAGGGGAGUAAGGCAUGAGGAGUAGUGCGCAAAGGGAGGAAGGCUGAUGCAGCAAUGCCGGGUGCGGGAUGACGGCCUUCGGGUUGUAAACAGGUAGCGCCUGGGAUGAAGGGGGGGUGACGGUAAUGGGUAAAGAAGCACCGGCUAACUACGUG
rnacentral:rRNA from 1 species